UGGCGGGCGGUCCGCGGGCGGAGGGCGAGGGCGGCCGGGACCCGCUCCGGCUGGUGCGGGUCGCCGCCACGCCGGCCGG
rnacentral:tRNA from 2 species